rnacentral:rRNA from 1 species
GCCAACCAGCUAGCUUAACCACCACAUCUAAUAAAAUUAUUUAGCAAAAAAAGACCUAAAAUAAUAAAUUAAAUCAUUUUAACAUCCUAGUAUGGGCGACAGAAAAGAUUCAAUAAAGCAAUAGAAAAAGUACCGCAAGGGAAAGCUGAAAGAGAAGUGAAACAAAUCAUGUAAGCACUAUAAAGCAGAGUUUAACCCUCGUACCUUUUGCAUCAUGAUUUAGCCAGUAUAACGAAGCGAAGUGACCUAUAGUUUCCCGCCCCGAAAUCAAGUGAGCUACCCCGAGACAGCCUGUUAAGCAGGGCUAACCCGUCUCUGUGGCAAAAGAGUGGAGAGAACUCCGGGUAGAAGUGACAGACCUACCGAACUUGAUGAUAGCUGGUUGUUCAGGAAAUGAAUUUAAGUUCAGCCUCGUGAACCUUAAGCUAGAAACCCAAAAUAGAAGCAAAGCAACAAGAUAUUUACGAGAGUUAGUUUAAGGGGGUACAGCUCCUUAAACACAGAAUACAAUCUUACAAUAGAAGGAAAAAGAUCAUAUUAUACAUUAUAUUGUUGCAGUAGGCCUGGAAGCAGCCAACUGGAUAGAAAGCGUUAUAGCUCAGACAAGACCAUGCCCAUGAUUUCGAUAAGAAGUCUUAUUCCCCUAAAAAUUACUGAACCACCUACAUGUAAACAUGUAAGCGAUUAUGCUAAAAUGAGUAACAAGAAAAACACGACUUUCUCCUCGCACAAGUGUAAGUCAGCUCAGACAAACCACUGAUAAUUAACGAACCCAAUUAAAGAGGGCAGUAUGAGCACUAAAAUCAAGAAGAGCCCAUAUCCCAAAAUCGUUAUCCCCACACUGGAGUGCAAAUAAGGAAAGACUAAUAGAAAGGGAAGGAACUCGGCAAACACAAGCCUCGCCUGUUUACCAAAAACAUCGCCUCUUGUAAAUUAAAAAUAAGAGGUCCGGCCUGCCCAGUGACUAUAGGUUCAACGGCCGCGGUAUUUUGACCGUGCUAAGGUAGCGCAAUCACUCGUCCCUUAAAUAGGGACCAGUAUGAAUGGCUAGACGAGGGCUUAGCUGUCUCCCUUUUCAGGUCAGUGAAAUUGAUCUAUCCGUGCAGAAGCGGGUAUAAAUAUACAAGACGAGAAGACCCUUUGGAGCUUAAGGUACAAAACUUAAUCACGUAAAACAAUGCAACAAAACAUAAAAAUAUAGUGAAAAUAAAAUUUUACCUUCGGUUGGGGCGACCACGGAGGAAAGAAAAGCCUCCAAGCAGACUGGGAAUAGCUAUUUCCUACAAUUGAGAGAAACAUCUCUAAGUCACAGAACUUCUGACUGAACAUGACCCAGCCACUAAGGCUGAUAAACGAACCAAGUUACCCUAGGGAUAACAGCGCAAUCCUCUCCAAGAGACCAUAUCGACGAGGGGGUUUACGACCUCGAUGUUGGAUCAGGACAUCCUAAUGGUGCAGCCGCUAUUAAGGGUUCGUUUGUUCAACGAUUAAUAGUCCUACGCGAUCUGAGUUCAGACCGGAGCAAUCCAGGUCAGUUUCUAUCUGUAAUUACUGCUUUUUCCUAGUACGAGAGGAUUGGAAAAAGGGGGCCUCUUACUAAGUCAAGCCCCACCCCAAAUUUAUGAUUAGCAAUUAAUAAAGUAAUGGGGGAGCAAACAUUAACCCUAAAGAAGGGUU